rnacentral:lncRNA from 1 species
AGUAACUAAGUGAAUUGUUGCAUUGUCUGGGUCGUGGUUGUUGGGUCUUCUAACCGGUCCAGAUCAAUAAAUAUGUGUGUGUGUGUGUGUGUGUUAUGUGUCGAAACCACGAUCAAAGGUCCAGAUUUGAGAUUGAUUUCAUAACGAAACUCCUCUAAGAACAUUAUUAUGAAACAUUUCAAUUACAAGAAAGGCAUUUACUGUGUGUUUUCAAGACGGCUUACACCAUCUCAACAUGCCACAAGUCUCUUCCCCAACAUAGGGGAUCAUGCAAAGGCUUUGAAACGACCAAAAUGGGCACUCUAAAUGUUGGUCUCAACAAUUCUGUAACAAUCAUAACUCAGUUUCCGGUAGCAAACACUGGGGGAUAAUUGUUUUUGGUCGGUCAAACAGUCUAAUAAGAUCGACCUAAUUCAAAAGUCCAAUUGAAAACUUUGACCACUCGAACAGUCUUUCACAUAUGAUUCAUUCAUUCUUGCGAGUUAUUCCUAUUUAAUUAGAUUGAUUUGAACGUUGAAGUAUUAAUCUUGCCGGUAUAUCCUCUCUCCACCUACCAAAAACUCUCAUUAUUUACUAAAAAAAAUUCAUGACCGACUUCAUUAUCAUAUUACCAAUUUCCUAUUCCAUAUCGGAAUACCAAAAAUCUCUCUUCUUACGGAAAAAAAAAUGUUUGCCAAAUGAAGGAGACCAGAUUAGGCCGUGCUUUUAUGAUAUCAAUGCUUAAAUAAUGUCUAUGCCUAUUGAAUCACAUCACCCUUACAGAUUGUAUAAUAUUGCAAUAUUUGCUAACAUGCAAUAUUUGCUUACAGAUUGUUUAAUGUGUAUAUUUACCGCCAAGGUGAGUGCCAUGACAUUGCUAUAUACAUUUUUUGAAAAAUUAUCUUAGAUUCUUUACGAAAUCUAACAUGAACAAAAUGUUAACAUAUGGAUAAUCAGGUGUUUGAUUAUGAUGUAGAAUUUGCACAAUUUAAACUGUUUAUUGUUAAUAAUAUAUUUAAAUUCUAUCGAGAAUUAAAAUUUAAACAAAAUGGUAACUCUUAAUUAUUUAUAGUAGUUGAUCUACCUCCCCCACUCUAAAUAAUCUUAUUUGUGUGAGAGAAAAAAAGGGUACACGUACAACCUAUAAUAGAAAGAAAGACAAUUUAAUAAUAUUAUUUUAUGUUUUAUUUUAUUUCAUUACUAUUCUUUUUAGAAUACAAAAUCCAUAACUACAAAGUCCUUAAGAAUAAAAUUAAAAAAAUUAAAAUUAUUAGAAGCCAAAUUAAUAACUAAAUGACCUCUGAUAUGAAUUUGUAGGAAGAACUUAUGGUCUCAUCUUUCAACGGCACGAACAUUUUCCAGUUUCAGCAAAGGGCACAAAAAAACACUUCGGUUUUAAGGGAUUUGGGCACAUAUCAUAUGGACAUUGAAAAUCUUGGUUACAUUCAAUAACACCUGUAAUGAAAAAAUUAAUAAAAUAUUUUUACUAAAAUGAGAUAAAAUAUCACAUAUGAAGUUAAUAAGAAAAUUUGAAAAUGACUUACUUCCAAUGUUCAUUGCACCAAGAAUUAGAGAAAGAAAGAUGAUAAUAAAAUAAAUAAAUUUGACAAUUGCAACCAUUUUGUUUCCACUUUACAUGUAAGAAAUAUUAUAUAGUUUUAUCACUUUAUAAUUUAUAAUGUUC